UCCUUAAAACUGAAGUUGAUAUAGUGAC
rnacentral:piRNA from 1 species